AAGACUAUAGACCUGCGGAGUACCUGCGGAGGGAUCAUUAGUGGACGCCCUCACGGGCUUAUAACUAUUCCAAACCUCUGUGAACCGUGCCCUUCGGGGCUAUUUUACAAACAUGGUGUAAUGAACGUCAUAUAUCAUAACAAAACAAAACUUUCAACAAUGGAUCUCU
rnacentral:misc_RNA from 1 species